rnacentral:other from 1 species
CCACCCCUGCGGUGUUCGUGAGGAGACCAAUCUCCUGAGCCGAUAACUUAUGAACCUGGGAACCGUGCCCUGAUUGUGGAGUGUGACCCCCAUCUGCGGGAUUACCAGAAACAAUUAUUCACGGAUCCACCUUGAACAAAAGGGUUCAGAGAGUGCGAUCCCACGGCACAGGCGGGGGCACU